rnacentral:lncRNA from 1 species
UUUAAAAGGGCCCAGCAGUCUCAGCACCAGUACUCGCAGAGCCUCUGAGGAUUCUGUGGUUAUACCUGCUCCUCAUCCAGAAGCAUGAGAUUCUUGGCUCUUCUCUUCCUGGCGGCUCUGGCUGGGGCCCUGGUCUGUGCCCCUGAACCUGGUGCGGGGAUCACAGCUCCAGUGGAAUCUGCUUCACCCCAAGAGACGGCAGCAGGAGACGGGUUCGCCCCAGGGGAACAACUAAAACCCCUGAAAGACUUAGCAGAGAGAAGACUCUUGAAAGCAAGGCGUACCCUUGAAGAAGCAAGAAAAGGAGCGCGGGAAGGAAUUGAAGGUGGAAAAAAACUCUUCGAAGGUGGAACUGAAUUUGUAAGAAAACUGAGGGACAAAUUCAUUCCAAUUAAGCCCUGAGAACCUGAAAAGAAUGGGGUCUCUGGACUUAUCGCCUUAAACUUGCUUGCAGCUCAGAACAAUUAAACUGAAAGCAUCCAA